CCUUCGGGCGGCAGCAGUGGGGAAUAUUGCACAAUGGGGGAGACCCUGAUGCAGCAACGCCGCGUGAAGGAAGACGGUUUUCGGAUUGUAAACUUCUGUUCUUAGUGAAGAAUAAUGACGGUAGCUAAGGAGCAAGCCACGGCUAACUACGUGCCAACAGCCGCGGUAAUACGUAGGUGGCAAGCUUUUACCGGAAUUACUGGGUGUAAAGGGAGCGCAGGCGGGAAGCCAAGUCAGCUGUGAAAACUACGGUCUUAACUUGUAGACUGCAGUUGAAACUGGUUAUCUUGAGUGAAGGAGAGGUUGGCGGAAUGCCGAGUGUAGCGGUGAAAUGCGUAGAUAUCCGGAGGAACACCGGUGGCGAAGGCGGCAAACCGGGCUUUAACUGACGCUGAGGCUCGAAAGUGUGGGGAGCAAACAGGAUUAGAUACCCCUGUAGUC
rnacentral:rRNA from 1 species